AUGAAUCCAGGUCUUGCUGAUGAAGUAGCGACGGAGAUCGGCGCCGAGAAGAGGAGGCCGUGGAAGUGCUGCGACAGCCCGUUGUGCAGCAGGUCGAUCCCGCCGCGGUGCCGCUGCAUGGACGCCGUCGAGCACUGCGACGAGGCCUGCACCCGCUGCGAGGCGUCCCAGUCCGACUCUUCCAAGCACGUCUGCAACGACCGGUACCACGGCUGGCCCGGGCCCAACUGCACCGACCCCGACGACAUCCCAAGCGGUCCAGGGGUCUCUGGUCCGCCGGUUGUCAGUCAAGCGACGGAGGCGGGGGAGGAGACCAGCGUCGUCGGCGGCGAGGAGAAGCCGAGGCCGUGGAAGUGCUGCGACGAGGCCAUAUGCACCAUGUCGUUCCCGCCGAUCUGCUUCUGCCGCGACAGGGUGAAGAAGUGCGCCAAGACCUGCAACAAGUGCGACAAGGACGAGUCCGACGCUUCCCGCCACGUGUGCGGCGACUCCUACUUCGGCUGGCCCGGGCCCAGGUGCACCAACCCUGACGACGGCCACGUCCCAAGUGGUACUGGUCCAGGAGUUUCUGGUCCGCCGGUCGUCGGUCAGGAAGCAGCUGUUAGCGAGGAGAUCGCCGUCGACGGCGAGAAGCCGAGGCCAUGGAAGUGCUGCGACCAGACCCUGUGCACCAGGUCUGCCCCGCCGACCUGUUUCUGCCACGACAAGGUGAAGAAGUGCGCCAAGACUUGCAAGAACUGCCUCAAGGACGAGUCGGGCACUUCCCUCCGCGUGUGUGGCGACCCUUACUUCGGCUGGCCCGGGGCCAAGUGCCACAAGAUCUAA
rnacentral:rRNA from 1 species